rnacentral:tRNA from 1 species
UCCCUUGUGACUCAGUUGGUAGAGCAUCUGUCUGUAGUACAGGAGACCUGGGUUUGAUCCCUGGGUUGGGAA